AUGAAGGAAGCGACGGUCUCGCGACUCGCAAACCCUAGCUCGCGAGCAGAGGGCCACAAAACCACACCCCUCUCCCUCCCCGCCGCCACUUGCCGCAACUCCUCCACCAGAAAGGGAAGGGAAGCACGCCGGAGCCCCAUCUCCCCGGCCGUCAAAAUGGUGAACGUUCCGAAGACCAAGAAGACCUACUGCAAAAACAAGGAGUGCAAGAAGCACACACUUCACAAGGUCACUCAGUACAAGAAGGGCAAGGACAGUCUAUCUGCCCAGGGAAAGCGUCGUUAUGACAGGAAGCAGUCGGGAUAUGGUGGUCAGACCAAGCCUGUUUUCCACAAGAAGGCAAAAACCACCAAGAAGAUUGUGCUGAAGCUGCAAUGCCAGAGCUGCAAGCACUACUCCCAGCGUGCCAUCAAGAGGUGCAAGCAUUUUGAGAUCGGCGGAGACAAGAAGGGCAAGGGGACAUCUCUUUUCUAG
rnacentral:rRNA from 1 species